rnacentral:rRNA from 1 species
UAACAAGGAUUCCCCUAGUAACUGCGAGUGAAGAGGGAAAAGCUCAAAUUUAAAAUCUGGCGGGCUCUGCUCGUCCGAGUUGUAAUCUGGAGAAGCGUUUUCCGCGUCGGACCGUGCACAAGUCUCCUGGAACGGAGCGUCAUAGAGGGUGAGAAUCCCGUCCAUGGCACGGAGCGCCGAUGCUUUGUGAUACGUUUUCAAAGAGUCGAGUUGUUUGGGAAUGCAGCUCAAAACGGGUGGUAAAUUCCAUCUAAAGCUAAAUAUUGGCGAGAGACCGAUAGCGAACAAGUACCGUGAGGGAAAGAUGAAAAGCACUUUGGAAAGAGAGUUAAACAGUACGUGAAAUUGUUGAAAGGGAAACGCUUGAAGUCAGUCGCGUCCGACGGAACUCAGCCUUGCUUCGGCCUGGUGUACUUUCUGUCGGACGGGUCAACAUCAGUUUUGACCGGUGGAGAAAGGUAGGGGGAAUGUAGCGCCGUUUCGGCGGCGUGUUAUAGCCCCUUGCUGUAUGCAUCGGUCGGGACUGAGGACCGCAGCACGCCUUUUUGGCCGGGGGUUCGCCCUACGUACCGUGCUUAGGAUGUUGGCAUAAUGGCUUUAAGCGACCCGUCUUGAAACACGGACCAAGGAGUCCAACAUGCUUGCGAGUGUUCGGGUGGAAAACCCUUGCGCGUAAUGAAAGUAACAGUUGGGAACCUCCGCAAGGGGGUGCACCGACGCCCGGCCCUGAAGUUCUCUGACGGUGCUGCGGUAGAGCAAGUAUGCUGGGACCCGAAAGAUGGUGAACUAUGCCUGAAUAGGGCGAAGCCAGAGGAAACUCUGGUGGAGGCUCGUAGCGAUUCUGACGUGCAAAUCGAUCGUCAAAUUUGGG